GCGGGAGGGUGCCUGGCCUGGCUUCCUGCCUGCAGCUCAGCGUGGCUCCACGGUCAAUGCCAGCUGUGCCGGGAAGGUGUGACCUCGUGAAGGACGCUGUCACAGCCAGGCAGUCCUUCCUCAAAGGGGCACAGGGCACGCCUCGCUGCACACCGUGCAUGCAUCCACGGGGCUCAGCAGAAGGUCUGAGUCCAGCCCAGGGGCCCUGAUGUCAGCCGUGCCUCCACAGGGGACCCGCUUCCUAAUUUGCAUGAGGGCACCAUCUGGCCUGGCAGCUGCUGGACGAGAGUGAGGAAAACCCUUCAAAACUACAGCUGGGGGCCCCAAACAUGUCCAGCAGCCCGGGCCUGGCCCCCCAUUCACCAAGGACCUGAUACCAAGCAGAUAAAGAAUAACAUUCAUGAAAAUGUGCAAUGGGGAAACAGAGAAACCUUGGAUAAGAUUUCGAUGAGUCCAUGACUCACUCUGUAAUGGAACAGAACAGAAGAAGGCAGGCUGGGGACAUUACCAGGAUGAAAAGUAGCCAUGAGCUCAAUUUCCCCACAAGGUAAUAUCUUCCAACUUGAUGAGCAGCUGCCGUUUUCACCUCUGAUCAAGGCUGACGGCCACAGGCC